rnacentral:rRNA from 1 species
AGUGAACGCUGGCGGCGUGCUUAACACAUGCAAGUUGAACGGAUGAAGAUUGUGCUUGCACAAAUGGAUUCAGUAGCAGACGGGUGAGUAAUGCGUGGGAAUCUACUUUGUAAUGGGGGGAUAACUAUUGGAAACGAUUGCUAAUACCUUAUAUAGCCGAGAGGUGAAAGAUUUAUCGUUACAAGAUGAGCCCACGUGGGAUAAGGUAGUGGGGGAGGUAAUGGCUCACCAAGACAAUGAGUCCUAGUUGGUUUGGAGAGGAUGAUCAGCCACACUGGAACAGGGACACGGUCCAUACUCCUAUGGGAGGCAGCAUUGGGGAAUAUUGGACAAUGGGCGCAAGCCUGAUCCAGCAACGCCGCGUGAGUGGUAAGGCCUUAGGGUUGUAAAGCUCUUUUAGUGGAGAAAAUAAUGAUGGUAUCCACAGAAAAAGCCCCGGCUAACUUCGUGCCAGCCGCCGCCGUAA